GACGAACGCUGGCGGCGUGCCUAAUACAUGCAAGUCGAACGAAGCUGUUUUAACUGGUGCUUGCACCGACUUAAACAACUGAGUGGCGAACGGGUGAGUAACACGUGGGUAACCUGCCCCAAAGCGGGGGAUAACAUUUGGAAACAGAUGCUAAUACCGCAUAACCACAGAAACCACAUGGUUUCUGUGUCAAAGAUGGUUUCGGCUAUCACUUUGGGAUGGACCCGCGGCGUAUUAGCUAGUUGGUAAGGUAAUGGCUUACCAAGGCAAUGAUACGUAGCCGCAGUGAGAGGUUGGUCGGCCACAUUGGGACUGAGACACGGCCCAAACUCCUACGGGAGGCAGCAGUAGAGAAUCUUACACAAUGGACGAAAGUCUGAUGGAGCAGCGCCGCGUGAGUGAAGAAGGUUUUCGGAUCGUAAAAUUCUGUUGUCAGAGAAGAACGUGUGCGAGAGUAACUGCUCGUGCAGUGACGGUAUCUGGCCAGAAAGCCACGGCUAACUACGUGCCAGCCGCCGCCGUAA
rnacentral:rRNA from 1 species